rnacentral:sRNA from 1 species
UCCUGUCUGUAGCGUCGUACGCGCGGGAC